UUUGAUUGGUAAGAGCUGUGAUUUUAUUUUUUGGCUGUAGAAAUAUUGCUGUGAUUUUUUUUUUUGCUUUGGUUCUAAAUUUUUAAAUUUUAGAAGCCUUUAAAUUUGGGAUUAGAUAUUUGUCUCUGCAUAACAAUUAUAAAGAUAUAAUUUAAAAAAAAGUGCUAUAGAUUUAAAAAAAAAAGGAUGUGAGCUUUAAAAGAAAAUACAAAUCAAUCAGGGUUGUAGGUAUAAUUGUGGCUGUGGAGAGCAAUAUUCAGUCACACCCAAAAAAAGAAGAAUUUGACUAAAUAUCAAAAAUUAAUAUUGGUCCAGAAAAACAUUUGACUUUGAACAUACAAGCUAAUUUCCGGUCAACAUAUAAUUUUGUUUCAUAUUUACAUAUAUGCAAAUAAACUCUUAAUUACAAC
rnacentral:lncRNA from 1 species